GACGAACGCUGGCGGCGUGCUUAACACAUGCAAGUCGAACGGAAAGGCCCUGCUUUUGUGGGGUGCUCGAGUGGCGAACGGGUGAGUAACACGUGAGUAACCUGCCCUUGACUUUGGGAUAACUUCAGGAAACUGGGGCUAAUACCGGAUAGGAGCUCCUGCUGCAUGGUGGGGGUUGGAAAGUUUCGGCGGUUGGGGAUGGACUCGCGGCUUAUCAGCUUGUUGGUGGGGUAGUGGCUUACCAAGGCUUUGACGGGUAGCCGGCCUGAGAGGGUGACCGGCCACAUUGGGACUGAGAUACGGCCCAGACUCCUACGGGAGGAAGCAGUGGGGAAUAUUGCACAAUGGGCGGAAGCCUGAUGCAGCAACGCCGCGUGCGGGAUGACGGCCUUCGGGUUGUAAACCGCUUUCGCCUGUGACGAAGCGUGAGUGACGGUAAUGGGUAAAGAAGCACCGGCUAAAUACGUG
rnacentral:rRNA from 1 species